rnacentral:lncRNA from 1 species
GUAGAAUAGAUUUAUAAUCAUUGUAACCUGAGAAAACACUAAUUUAUUGGUGUCGAGAAUGGGUUGUUUCACAUUAUGUUAAAGUAACUAAAACUAAAGUCAGCAAGAGACUUUUCUCUAAAGGUCCAGUGAAUUGAGAACCCCUGGAUAAAUAGCAAAUCACCAGAAUCUACAAGUUGAAAAGGGAAGAUUGUAACUGUAACACUGAUUCAGCUUCACUGCUUGGAUGUAAUAUUUUUAUUUUGUUUAGCCAUGGUACGCAAAUCAGGAAGAAUCCAUAUGAAGGAAAGAGUUUUGAAUUAAUAGAAGACUUCAGUUAA